GACGAACGCUGGCGGCGUGCUUAACACAUGCAAGUCGAACGGAAAGGCCCUGCUUUUGUGGGGUGCUCGAGUGGCGAACGGGUGAGUAACACGUGAGUAACCUGCCCUUGACUUUGGGAUAACUUCAGGAAACUGGGGCUAAUACCGGAUAGGAGCUCCUGCUGCAUGGUGGGGGUUGGAAAGUUUCGGCGGUUGGGGAUGGACUCGCGGCUUAUCAGCUUGUUGGUGGGGUAGUGGCUUACCAAGGCUUUGACGGGUAGCCGGCCUGUGAGGGUGACCGGCCACAUUGGGACUGAGAGACGGCCCAGACUCCAACGGGAGGCAGCAGUGGGGAAUAUUGCACAAUGGGCGGAAGCCUGAUGCAGCAACGCCGCGUGCGGGAUGACGGCCUUCGGGUUGUAAACCGCUUUCGCCUGUGACGAAGCGUGAGUGACGGUAAUGGGUAAAGAAGCACCGGCUAACUACGUG
rnacentral:rRNA from 1 species